ACCAGACUCCUACGGGAGGCAGCAGUGAGGAAUAUUGGUCAAUGGCCGGAAGGCUGAACCAGCCAAGCCGCGUGAGGGAGGAGGGCGCAGAGCGUCACAGACCUCUUUUGCCGGGGGACAAAAGGCCGGACUCGUCCGGUCCUGAGGGUACCCGGAGAAAAAGCAUCGGCUAACUCCGUGCCAGCAGCCGCGGUAAUACGGAGGAUGCGAGCGUUAUCCGGAUUCAUUGGGUUUAAAGGGUGCGCAGGCGGGCCUUUAAGCCGGCGGUGAAAUCGCGGGGCUCAACCCCGUCGUGCCGUUGAAACUGGCGUUCUUGAGUGAGCGAGAAGUAUGCGGAAUGCGUGGUGUAGCGGUGAAAUGCAUAGAUAUCACGCAGAACUCCGAUUGCGAAGGCAGCAUACCGGCGCUCAACUGACGCUCAUGCACGAAAGCGUGGGUAUCGAACAGGAUUAGAUACCCUGGUA
rnacentral:rRNA from 1 species